rnacentral:tRNA from 1 species
GCGCUAAUAGUCUAGUGGCCAUGACUUCGGCCUUCCAAGUCGACGACCCGGGUUCGAUUCCCGGUUGGCGCACCA